ACUCCCGCGGAGACCCCGCCGGGCAGCACUGCGACCCCAGCCCACCGCCUGCAGCCUACUGGGCUGCGCAGGCCGGGCGCCAUGCGGAGGGGCGAGCGCAGAGUCGCCGGAGGCUCGGGAUCUGAGUCUCCGCUGCUCAAGGGCCGCCGCAGCACCGAGUCUGAAGUCUACGACGAUGGCACUAACACCUUCUUUUGGCGUGCCCACACUUUAACUGUGCUGUUCAUCCUCACCUGUGCGCUGGGCUACGUGACUCUCCUAGAAGAAACCCCUCAGGAUACAGCCUACAACACCAAGAGAGGUAUUGUGGCCAGUAUUUUGGUUUUCUUAUGUUUUGGAGUCACACAAGCUAAAGACGGGCCAUUUUCCAGACCUCAUCCAGCUUACUGGCGGUUUUGGCUGUGUGUUAGUGUGGUCUACGAAUUGUUUCUCAUCUUCAUCCUUUUCCAGACAGUCCAGGAUGGCCGACAGUUUCUGAAGUAUGUGGAUCCCAGGCUGGGAGUCCCAUUGCCAGAGAGGGACUACGGGGGCAACUGCCUCAUCUAUGAUGCUGACAACAAGACUGACCCUUUCCACAACAUCUGGGACAAGCUGGAUGGCUUUGUUCCUGCACACUUCAUUGGCUGGUAUCUGAAGGGAAGGAGUGGCAAAGCCUGACGGGCGCUGUCUGGCCCUCAGACGCUCAUGAUCCGUGACUGGUGGAUGUGCAUGAUCAUCAGUGUGAUGUUCGAGUUCCUGGAGUACAGCCUGGAGCACCAGCUGCCCAACUUCAGCGAGUGCUGGUGGGACCAUUGGAUCAUGGACGUCCUCGUCUGCAACGGGCUGGGCAUCUACUGUGGCAUGAAGACCCUCGAGUGGCUGUCCCUGAAGACAUAUAAGUGGCAGGGCCUCUGGAACAUUCCAACCUACAAGGGCAAGAUGAAGAGGAUUGCCUUUCAGUUCACGCCUUACAGCUGGGUACGCUUUGAGUGGAAGCCAGCCUCCAGCCUGCACCGCUGGCUGGCCGUGUGUGGCAUCAUCCUGGUGUUCCUGCUGGCAGAGCUGAACACCUUCUACCUGAAGUUUGUGCUAUGGAUGCCCCCUGAACACUACCUGGUCCUUCUGAGGCUGGUCUUCUUCGUGAACGUGGGUGGUGUGGCCAUGCGUGAGAUCUACGACUUCAUGGAUGAAUUGAAGCCCCACAGGAAGCUGGGCCAGCAGGCCUGGCUGGUGGCAGCCAUCACAGUCACAGAGCUUCUCAUCGUGGUGAAGUAUGACCCGCACACACUCACCCUGUCACUGCCCUUCUACAUCUCCCAGUGCUGGACUCUUGGCUCCAUCCUGGUGCUUACAUGGACUGUCUGGCGCUUCUUCCUGCGGGACAUCACCAUGAGGUACAAGGAGACCCGGCGACAGAAGCAGCAGAGUCACCAGGCCAGAGCCGUCAACAACCGGGAUGGGCACCCUGGGCCAGAUGAUGACCUGCUAGGGACUGGAACUGCAGAAGAAGAGGGGACCACCAAUGACGGUGUGACUGCUGAGGAGGGGACCUCAGCCGCGUCAUGAGCCUCACCCUCGUCACUGGCCUUGUGCCAAGGGGCUGUCCCAUUUCUCCCUUCCUCGUGCUCCCUGCUUCAGAGGCAGGGGUGGGGGGGGCAUCCACACUCCAGGAGGGGCACCUGAGAAUACAUGUUUGUGUGCAGGUAGGUGUAUGCACAUAUUGGCUCCUGACACUACUUUGGGGCCAUGAGCUGAACAGUGAGCCUGGAACUUGCUCUAGAGCAAGAGUCCUUUCUACCUGGUCAACAAAGGCCCUGGUCCAUGGUCUCCCUUGUGCUCAAUCUCAGCACCGGCUAGGGGAGGUAUCUUGGUAUCUCGGUACUCUUUCUCCACUCUUUAUGGGGUAGGCAGAAGCCCCAUGAGACCCUGUGGUCCCACCCACUUACAGCAGCAUAAGUGAAGGAUAUCAUAAUACCAACAUGUCUGCAAAGUGGUGGGUCUAGAGUCAGCACUGAGCCAUUUCCUUUGGAGCCUUCCUUUAACCACGCAGGACUAUAAACUGAAUGGUGUAUACAUGACAGUCACAGAUUGGCCUUUUGCGGCCAGAGAGCCCAACUUGGAGACCUGUACCCCAGGUGCCAGGGUGCUGUCACCAUGGCUCCCUUGAGCAAAUGGAACAAAUAAAGUGAUGAUGAAGGUG